UGAGGAAUAUUGGACAAUGGAGGCAACUCUGAUCCAGCCAUGCCGCGUGCAGGAAGACGGCCCUAUGGGUUGUAAACUGCUUUUAUACGGGAAGAACCACUCCGACGUGUCGGAGCUUGACGGUACCGUAUGAAUAAGGACCGGCUAACUCCGUGCCAGCAGCCGCGGUAAUACGGAGGGUCCAAGCGUUAUCCGGAAUCAUUGGGUUUAAAGGGUCCGUAGGCGGAAUAAUAAGUCAGUGGUGAAAGUCUGCAGCUCAACUGUAGAAUUGCCAUUGAUACUGUUGUUCUUGAAUUAUUAUGAAGUGGUUGGAAUGAGUAGUGUAGCGGUGAAAUGCAUAGAUAUUACUCAGAACACCUAUUGCGAAGGCAGAUCACUAAUAAUAUAUUGACGCUGAGGGACGAAAGCGUAGGUAGCGAACAGGAUUAGAUACCCUGGUAGUCUACGCCGUAAACGAUGGUUACUAGCUGUCCGGCUCG
rnacentral:rRNA from 1 species